UGCUCAGAUAUAUGUUGCUUUGCCUGGCAAAAGAUACAAGAGUUCAUCCAGAUGUAAGCCAAAAGUAAUGUUGCACUAUGCAUAAAAAUGAACACAGCCUGAAUUGUCUUCCAGUUUCAAACCGGCAAUUAUGACACUUCAGUGGCAGUGUUAGCCUUUAAGGCAGGUAACAUUACAUAUUUAAGGAAUAAGGAUGGUUCACCAUAUGAGGUCAAUAAAAAUUUAAUAGCAACUUUCUGCCAUUUUAUUCAUCUUCUGAUCCUAACAAGAGAGGAAACAUCAAAAUGAAUAAUAUUGCCAGACAUUUGACUAUUAGGGAAAAAUAUUUAAAGUUUAGUAUAAUAAAUUAUCAUCUAUAUUGCAUUCUGAAUUUCACUUUCUACUAUGUAUGCAAACACACUUUUGACACAAAUUUCUGUCUGCCUUGAGAUUUUUUUUGAAAGAUGAGCAGCUUUUGAUCCACUAGACGAGUGAAACCUUGUAGCUGGUCAUUGGACAAGAAACCGAUGCUUUAAAGGAUCCAGCCCAUGAACAUGGUCUCUAAAAUCAUCAUAGCUAGAUUGAACCUUAAGGUAGAGCCACAUACCAGGAGACUAUGUUAAAACUUACAAGGGUAACCUUUAACCCUUGAUUUUUUUUAACCUUCUACCAAACACAUCAUAAGGAGUUUUCUGUUGCAAAGGCUUUAGCUGCUACUGUGGGAUUGAAAUGAUUUUUUGACAAUACCUUUGAUUUCCUGAGGUGGAAGUCAAUCCCUUUUGCAUUUUAGCACAUUAAUUAUAAGCCAAUUUGUUGAUAGUCAUGACAAUGAUAAAUUAAUAGCAACUUAUGUGUCAACUUAACCUGACAAAGAAUGAAAAUUUGUGUCUGCUACAACAACAGCAAAUGAUAAAGGAGUUGAAGUCUUAUUUCUGCUAAUUCAAGGUUAUAUCACAAUUUUUUUUUUCCAUUCCCUUCUUUUUCCCUGUCUUUACAUAUGAAGAAGAUAUGUACACUUCCUGCAUAUUGUCCCUAUCUUUCUUAUAAAAAUUUCUCAUAUUUUUAGAGGUUGGCCAUUUGGUUGUUGCAAAAGAAAGCUGUGCCACGGAGGAUUGAUGAGGCUACACAUGCAACAAUUGUAAAAUGCUCAGAAUCUAUGUGGAAGCUAACAUACUAUGCUACUGUUGAAGUAUGUGUUCUUAAAAUUACCUACAAUGAACCAUGGUUCAGAAACACAAGAGAAUACUUCAGAGGUUGGCCAGAUCAAGAAUUAAAGCUUCCCCUAAAACUUUUCUACAUGUGCCAAUGUGGAUUCUACAUCUACAGUAUUGCUGCACUCCUUACAUGGGAAACUAGAAGGAAGGACUUUGCUGUAAUGAUGUCUCAUCAUGUAGUUACAGUUAUACUGAUUGGAUACUCUUACAUUACAAGAUUUUUUCGGAUAGGCUCAAUUAUCCUUGCCCUGCAUGAUGCAAGCGAUGUAUUGAUGGAAGCUGCAAAAGUUUUUAAAUAUUCUGGGAAGGAGCUUGGAGCAAGCAUUUGCUUUGGAUUAUUUGCCAUCUCGUGGCUCCUACUACGACUAGUAUUCUUUCCAUUUUGGGUAAUCAAGACUUCAUGCUAUGAUGUUGUGGACUUCUUAGAUUUGUCAAAGGCCUAUCCCCUUUCACUGUACUAUGUUUUCAAUACAAUGCUGCUGAUGCUACUUGUGUUCCACAUCUACUGGUGGGUUCUGAUAUACUCAAUGAUAAUGAAACAGCUAAGAAAUAGAGGAAGAGUGGGCGAAGAUAUAAGAUCUGAUUCAGAAGAUGAUGAUUAGAUAGAAGAUUUUGUUUAAGAUUUUGGUUCAGUGGCGGCUGACAGGAGAUUCAUUCGACUUUUCAUUUGAUUUCUACAGUUGAUUUUUUUUCUUGGUGUAAAGGAAAGGAAGUAGGACCACCAAGCAUCGCUUUCUUAUUUCUUUUGGUGUAUAAAUAAUAGGCAAUCCUGUAUAAUUGUUCGCUUCUUCGAUGAACCCUCGUUCUGAGAUUCGUCCUAUUUGCUAAAUGGAGGGGGAAAAAAAAACUUGUGUAACAAUUUUUUACAAUUUUCUUGGUGUCUAGUUGUUAAGAAUCUAUACAGCUAUAUAACACAUUAGGUCUAUAAUAAUAACUGAUGAAGUUAGCUAGUAGUUCAAUAUUCAUGA
rnacentral:misc_RNA from 1 species